UGGGAAUAUUGCACAAUGGGCGAAAGCCUGAUGCAGCAACGCCGCGUGAGUGAUGAAGGCCUUCGGGUUGUAAAGCUCUGUCUUUUGGGACGAUAAUGACGGUACCAAAGGAGGAAGCCACGGCUAACUACGUGCCAGCAGCCGCGGUAAUACGUAGGUGGCAAGCGUUGUCCGGAUUUACUGGGCGUAAAGGAUGCGUAGGCGGAUUUUUAAGUGAGAUGUGAAAACCCUAAGCUUAACUUGGGGACUGCAUUUCAUACUGGAAAUCUAGAGUGCGGGAGAGGAGAAUGGAAUUCCUAGUGUAGCGGUGAAAUGCGUAGAGAUUAGGAAGAAACACCAGUGGCGAAGGCGAUUCUCUGGACCGUAACUGACGCUGAGGCAUGAAAAGCGUGGGUAGCAAACAGGAUUAGAUACCCUGGUAGUCCACGCCGUAAACGAUGAGUACUAGGUGUAGGAGGUAUCGACCCCUUCUGUGCCGCAGUUAACACAAUAAGUACUCCGCCUGGGAAGUACGAUCGCAAGA
rnacentral:rRNA from 1 species